GACGAACGCUGGCGGCGUGCUUAACACAUGCAAGUCGAACGGAAAGGCCCUGCUUUUGUGGGGUGCUCGAGUGGCGAACGGGUGAGUAACACGUGAGUAACCUGCCCUUGACUUUGGGAUAACUUCAGGAAACUGGGGCUAAUACCGGAUAGGAGCUCCUGCUGCAUGGUGGGGGUUGGAAAGUUUCGGCGGUUGGGGAUGGACUCGCGGCUUAUCAGCUUGUUGGUGGGGUAGUGGCUUACCAAGGCUUUGACGGGUAGCCGGCCUGAGAGGGUGACCGGCCACAUUGGGACUGAGAUACGGCCCAGACUCCUACGGGAGGCAGCAGGGGGGAAUAUUGCACAAUGGGCGGAAGCCUGAUGCAGCAACGCCGCGUGCGGGAGGACGGCCUUCGGGUGGUAAACCGCUUUCGCCUGUGACGAAGCGUGAGGGACGGGAAUGGGUAAAGAAGCACCGGCAAACUACGU
rnacentral:rRNA from 1 species